rnacentral:rRNA from 1 species
ACAAUGGGCGCAAGCCUGAUGCAAGGGACCCCGCUUGAGGGAUGACGGCCUUUGGGGUUGUAAACCUUUUUCAGUACCGGAGAAGCGCAAGUGCCGGUAGGUACAGAAGAAGCACCGGCCAACUACGUGCCAGCAGCCGCGGUAAUACGUAGGGUGCGAGCGUUGUCCGGAAUUACUGGGCGUAAAGAGCUCGUAGGCGGUUUGUCGCGUCGUCUGUGAAAACCCGCAGCUCAACUGCGGGCUUGCAGGCGAUACGGGCAGACUUGAGUACUGCAGGGGAGACUGGAAUUCCUGGUGUAGCGGUGAAAUGCGCAGAUAUCAGGAGGAACACCGGUGGCGAAGGCGGGUCUCUGGGCAGUAACUGACGCUGAGGAGCGAAAGCGUGGGUAGCGAACAGGAUUAGAUACCCUGGUAGUCCACGCCGUAAACGGUGGGCGCUAGGUGUGGGUUUCCUUCCACGGGAUCCGUGCCGUAGCUAACGCAUUAAGCGCCCCGCCUGGGGAGUACGGCCGCAAGGCUAAAACUCAAAGGAAUUGACGGGGGCCCGCACAAGCGGCGGAGCAUGUGGAUUAAUUCGAUGCAACGCGAAGAACCUUACCUGGGUUUGACAUACACCGGACCGCCCCAGAGAUGGGGUUUCCCUUGUGGUCGGUGUACAGGUGGUGCAUGGCUGUCGUCAGCUCGUGUCGUGAGAUGUUGGGUUAAGUCCCGCAACGAGCGCAACCCUUGUCCUGUGUUGCCAGCACGUAAUGGUGGGGACUCGCAGGAGACUGCCGGGGUCAACUCGGAGGAAGGUGGGGACGACGUCAAGUCAUCAUGCCCCUUAUGUCCAGGGCUUCACACAUGCUACAAUGGCCGGUACAGAGGGCUGCGAUACCGCGAGGUGGAGCGAAUCCCUUAAAGCCGGUCUCAGUUCGGAUCGGGGUCUGCAACUCGACCCCGUGAAGUCGGAGUCGCUAGUAAUCGCAGAUCAGCAACGCUGCGGUGAAUACGUUCCCGGGCCUUGUACACACCGCCCGUCACGUCAUGAAAGUCGGUAACACCCGAAGCCGGUGGCCUAACCCCUCGUGGGAGGGAGCCGUCGAAGGUGGGAUCGGCGAU